UACGGAGGGAGCUAGCGUUGUUCGGAAUUACUGGGCGUAAAGGGCGCGUAGGCGGCUGUGUAAGUUAGAGGUGAAAGCCCGGAGCUCAACUCCGAAACUGCCUUUAAAACUGCAUCGCUUGAAUCCAGGAGAGGUGAGUGGAAUUCCGAGUGUAGAGGUGAAAUUCGUAGAUAUUCGGAAGAACACCAGUGGCGAAGGCGGCUCACUGGACUGGUAUUGACGCUGAGGUGCGAAAGCGUGGGGAGCAAACAGG
rnacentral:rRNA from 1 species